CCUACGGGGGGCAGCAGUGAGGAAUAUUGGUCAAUGGCCGGAAGGCUGAACCAGCCAUGCCGCGUGAAGGUCAGUGCCCUAUGGGCGUUAAACUUCUUUUGUGCGGGAGCAAUAGUGGUCACGUGUGGCCAGACGAGAGUACCGUACGAAUAAGCAUCGGCUAACGCCGUGCCAGCAGCCGCGGUAAUACGGGUGAUGCAAGCGUUAUCCGGAUUUAUUGGGUUUAAACGGUGCGUAGGCUGGGAGGUAAGUCAGCGGUGAAAUGCCCCCGCGCCACGGGGUGAAGUGCCACUGAUACUGGCUGGCUGGAAUGCGGAUGCCGUGGGAGGAAUGUGAGGUGUAGCGGUGAAAUGCAUAGAUAUCACACAGAACACCGAUUGCGAAGGCAGCUCACGAAUCCGCGAUUGACGCUGAUGCACGAAAGCGUGGGUAUCAAACAGGAUUAGAUACCCUUGUAGUC
rnacentral:rRNA from 1 species